AUUGAACGCUGGCGGCAGGCCUAACACAUGCAAGUCGAACGAGUGGCGGACGGGUGAGUAAUGUCUGGGAAACUGCCUGAUGGAGGGGGAUAACUACUGGAAACGGUAGCUAAUACCGCAUACCAUCGGAUGUGCCCAGAUGGGAUUAGCUAGUAGGUGGGGUAAAGGCUCACCUAGGCGACGAUCCCUAGCUGGUCUGAGAGGAUGACCAGCCACACGGGAACGGAGACACGAGCCAGACGCCUACGGGAGGCCGCAGUGGGGAAUAGUGCACAAGGGGCGCAAGCCUGAUGCAGCCAUGCCGCGUAUAGGAAGAAGGCAUUCGGGUUGUAAAGUACUUUCAGCGGGGAGGCGUUACCCGAAGAAGAAGCACCGGCUAACUCCGUGCCAGCCGCCGCGGUAAUAC
rnacentral:rRNA from 1 species